CAGCCGCCACGGUAAAACAGAGGGUGCAAGCGUUAAUCGGAUUUACUGGGCGUAAAGGGCGCGUAGGUGGUUAUUUAAGUGAGAUGUGAAAGCCCCGGGCUUAACCUGGGAACUGCAUCUUAUACUGGGUAACUGGAGUGCAGUAGAGGGUAGUGGAAUUUCCGGUGUAGCGGUGAAAUGCGUAGAUAUCGGAAGGAACACCAGUGGCGAAGGCGGCUACCUGGACUGAGACUGACACUGAGGCGCGAGAGCGUGGGGAGCAAACAGGAUUAGAUACCCCUGUAGUCCCUGUCUCUUAUAC
rnacentral:rRNA from 1 species